UACGUAGGCAGCAAGCGUUUUUCGGAGUUACUGGGCGUAAAGGGUGCGUAGGCGGUUUUCUAAGUCUGGUGUGAAAUCUCCCGGCUCAACUGGGAGGGUGCGCUAGAAACUGGGAGGCUAGAGUGUGGGAGAGGAGAGUGGAAUUCCUGGUGUAGCGGUGAAAUGCGUAGAUAUCAGGAGGAACACCGGUGGUGUAGACGGCUCUCUGGACCAUUACUGACGCUGAGGCACGAAAGCGUGGGUAGCAAACAGG
rnacentral:rRNA from 1 species